GCCCCACCCACCUAGAGGAGCCUGUUCUAUAAUCGAUAACCCCCGCUUAACCUCACCACUUCUUGCCAAUACCGCCUAUAUACCACCGUCGCCAGCCCACCCCGUGAGGGAAAUAGUAGGCACAAUGAUAAGUCACCAAAACGUCAGGUCAAGGUGUAGCGUAUGAAGUGGAAAGAAAUGGGCUACAUUCUCUAACCUAGAGCACACGAAAAAUCAUAUGAAAUUAGAUUAGAAGGAGGAUUUAGUAGUAAAAAGAAACAAUAGUGUUCUUUUUAAGUUGGCCCUGGGGCGCGCACACACCGCCCGUCACCCUCUUCAACUAAUAAAACACGAUUUAUAAAACACAAAACAAAUACAAGAAGAGGUAAGUCGUAACAUGGUAAGUAUACCGGAAGGUGUGCUUGGAAUUAC
rnacentral:rRNA from 1 species